AGAAAUGUGGCUUAGUGGUAGAGUGCUUGCCUAGCAAGCAUGAAGUCCUGGGUUCAAUUCCUCAGUACCA
rnacentral:tRNA from 1 species